rnacentral:rRNA from 1 species
ACGCUCGACACCUACUGGAGGCAGCAGUGAGGAAUAUUGGUCAAUGGGCGCAGGCCUGAACCAGCCAAGUAGCGUGAAGGAUGACUGCCCUAUGGGUUGUAAACUUCUUUUAUAUGGGAAUAAAGUUUUCCACGUGUGGAAUUUUGUAUGUACCAUAUGAAUAAGGAUCGGCUAACUCCGUGCCAUCAGCCGCGGUAAUCUGAGCGGGCUGGCAAGGC